CAGGCAUAAUGAUGAAGCUUGUUGUCUGAGAUUUCUUGUGAUGAUCAAAUCAACCUCCUACUCAUACUGA